UAAACCCUGACGUAACCCUUUGGCCGAGUUAAUAACGCUUUGUGUAUCAUUUGUCGUUCUCGAGAUACACUCGAUCGGCUCGGAUAUCUAAUCGGUAGGUACACGCUUGUAUUACACGCCUAGAAAAGAGAGAGAGAGAGAGAGAGAGAGAGAGAGAGAGAGAGAGAGAGAGAGAGAGAGAGAGAGAAAAGUAACUCCUGUCUUUCUCUUCGGCGAUAGUUAAAUAGUUUUGCACCGUGUUAGAGGAACCAAACUCACGCGCUUCUCUUAUUUCUCUUUUAUAUAUAGAGAUAUUUAUAUAUCUCUUUUUUCCGUCCUUGCCUUUUCGCGAAGCUUGCGCUAUUUAUUAUUUAUUACCACUAGAGAUAAACUUGAUUACCCGUAAAUGGAAUUUAUCGCGGUACCGCAAUGUCGCGAGCAUUCUCUGCGAGGAAUUAUGCAGGGCUCUCGCGUUACACAUCUUUUUCAUCGUAACGAUUAAUGGCCAAUUACAUCGAUGUUUCCCUACAUUGGAAAUGUACCCAAUCGACUAAAGAGAUCGAGUGUCGGAGAUCUUCUUGAAAAGAAGAGAAACGUUUCAACCUGCUUUCGUCCAACGUUGGCGCGACCAAACGCGACAUGAAAGAUUCGACCAAAGGGACGUGGAAAGCAGAGAUAGGUUUGGUCGGGAAGCGAGAGAGAAAGAAUCCAUGGGAUUGGGAUAAUGUUCGUCGAGGGUCGCUCGUGUGAGAGGGAACAUAGAAAGGCUAUGUGGGUUAAUGGUAAAUACGAUAAUUAAUAAAUCAUACGAAUUAUCACAUA